CCCUUAGAUGCUCUGGGCCGCACGCGCGCUACACUGGUCGAUGCAACGAGUUUCUUUCCUUGGCCGACAGGCCUGGGCAAUCUUUGAACAUCGACCGUGAUCGGGAUAGAUUCUUGUAAUUUUUGAUCUUAAACGAGGAAUUCCUAGUAAACGCAAGUCAUCAGCUUGCAUUGAUUACGUCCCUGCCCUUUGUACACACCGCCCGUCGCACCUACCGAUUGAAUGGUCCGGUGAAAUCUCCGGACUGGCGUGAGUCGGAGCAAUCUGACAAACACCGGAAAGUUGAUUAAACCUUACCAUUUAGAGGAAGGUGAAGUCGUAACA
rnacentral:rRNA from 1 species